rnacentral:rRNA from 1 species
CCCGCUGAAUUUAAGCAUAUUAAUAAGCGGAGGAAAAGAAACUAACAAGGAUUCCCUCAGUAACGGCGAGUGAAGCGGGAAGAGCUCAAAUUUGAAAUCUCCGAUGCUUGCAUCGGCGAGUUGUAGUUGCGAGAAGCACUUUCUAGGUGGAUCGGCGGUGCCUAAGUUGCUUGGAACAGCACGUCGCAGAGGGUGACAACCCCGUCUGUGGCGCCGCCGGCCGCUGACGAUGUGCUUUCGAAGAGUCGGGUUGUUUGGGAAUGCAGCCCAAAAUGGGUGGUAAACUCCAUCUAAAGCUAAAUACUGGCGUGAGACCGAUAGCGAACAAGUACCGUGAGGGAAAGAUGAAAAGAACUUUGAAAAGAGAGUUAAAAAGUACGUGAAACCGUCGGAAGGGAAACGAAUGGACUCAGCAAUGCGCCCUCUGAGAUUCAGCCGCGUGGGUGGCGUCGGCGCGGGGUUUGCGGAUCUGAAUGGACCGCGGCCCGGCGCUCGCUGCUCCCCGCCGUCGCACUUCUCUGGGGCGCGCGUCAACGUGGGUUGGGACUGGGUCUGAAAGGUGCCGGGAAGGUAGGUGUGGGCCUUCGGGUCCGUUCUGUUACAGCCCGGUUCUCUCAUGGCUCGGGCCCGACCGAGGAGCAGACAGGGCAUGCCUCCUGUGGCUAGGGUCCCGUCCUUCCGGCCGGCUGUCCAGUGUGGUGGACUGCUUGCAGUGCUCUGCGACGGCUGCCGGUCGUUGGGGUGGUGAUCUCGUACCAUGCCCUUGGGAUGUUGGCGGUCAUAUGGGUGC